CCAGAUCGAGCCGAUGAUUCAAGGACUCCUCCGUCCGUUUCCCCAUCAAGCUGUUGCAGGACGCCGCUGCUUGGAUUGGGACGGACUCGUGCGCUGCUGACGCGCGCAUCCUCUGGCCUCCGCAGCCGUACGGCCGCUGUCCGACUCCGCCAUAGUCUGGCCGCCGUCCGUCCGCUGUCCGCGUCCGCCACCGUCCGGCCGCCGUUCGUCAGCUGCCGCUGCGAUCUAUGCCUGGCCAUCCGUCAGUGCAUGGCCAUUGAGAUCCGUUCGGGGCUGCAUCGUCUGUUGACUUGGGCAUAAACUGCUUUGGUUAGCCUUGGUGCUGGCCUGCAUCGGCUGCUGUGCACACACGUGAUGUGCUGUACUAUUUCUGGUGGUUCAUCAUCGGUUGAUAGUGUUUAAAAAAAAAAAAAAAAAA
rnacentral:lncRNA from 1 species